GCGCCUCUGGUGUAGUGGCAGCACAACGGCUUCCAAACCCGUUGGCGGGAGUUCAAUUCUCUCGAGGCGCGCGC
rnacentral:tRNA from 1 species